rnacentral:rRNA from 1 species
CACGUAGGGGGCAAGCGUUGUCCGGAUUUAUUGGGCGUAAAGAGCUCGUAGGCGGUUCGGUAAGUCAGGUGUGAAACCUCCAGGCUCAACCUGGAGACGCCACCUGAUACUGCUGUGACUCGAGUCCGGUAGGGGAGCGUGGAGUUCCUGGUGUAGCGGUGAAAUGCGCAGAUAUCAGGAGGAACACCAGCGGCGAAGGCGGCGCUCUGGGCCGGAACUGACGCUGAGGAGCGAAAGCGUGGGUAGCAAACAGG